GCCAAAGCCUCUGGGUCCCCCAGUGUCCCACCCCGAUAGCUCCCUGGGAUCCUUGCAGCAGUGAACUUACUGGGAUCUUGCUCCAACUCUCCCACCAAGAAGCCACUGAGCGAUCCUUUCACACAGAUCUGACCCUGCCCUCCCAGUCCCAGUCUUUCAUGGUCAACUUGCACCUACACCUGGCACAGUCACCCCACAUUGAGAGCCAACAUCCAACAUUGGAGUCAAAACUCCACUAUGGGAGUUAAUGCCCCUCCUGGGAACCAACACUCUAAACUGAGAGCCAACACCCUGCCCUGGAGUCAACACCCCACAUUGGAGCCAACACCCCACUCUGGGAGCCUACCCCCUACAUUGGAGCCAACAUCUCACCUGGGAGUCAACGCUCGACCCUGAGAUCCAACACCCUAUUCAGGAAGCCAACAUCCCAUCCUGGGGGUCAACACCUCACUUUGGAAUCAACACGGCACCCUGGGAGCUAACACCCCACCCUGAAGUUAAUGCCCACCCUGGACUGUGAGCCUGUAAUUACAAUUGCUGCCCAUUGAUUAGAAAAGCACAAGGCCCCAGGGUGCACAGGAGUGUCCAGGCUUCAGUCUCCACAGCAGAGAUGAGAGGACCUGGCCACUGUCUUCCUCUUGCGGACAGGGCAGCUCACACGACUCCUGUAGGAACCACCAGGGGCAAACCCACCGAGACCCCAGUGAGACCAUGAACUUCUUCAUGAACCCACUUACUCAGGGAGCAUCUACUGAAGUGUCAGACCCUGGGAACACCAAACGCCAAGGCCAGGGACAGACACAGAGGACAAGGGCACCCAGCGACUGGAGGCCAGGCUGCCCAGAGGAGCCUGAGGGAGAGUACUGCUCUUGCGAAGGCCAGUCCUGGCUUGGCACUGAAGUGGACACCCAGCAAGGUCCCAGCAUCCCACCCCAGGACCCCAGCGUCUGUGCCAAGGCUGGGACAGGACCAGAGCCCAGAGCCACAUGCGCAGGGGCCCAAAAGACACCAGACAAAGACCUCAUUGUGCCUGGAGCUCGGUUUGAGAACAGCCCUGGGUCUGACAGCCGGCAGGCCAAAGGACCCCCCUGGGACAGAGCCGGGCCAGCAGCCCUCCCCAGGGUGUGGCUGGAGCCAGGCAGAGAUUCCCAGUGUGUCGAGUGUCCAGCCCACAGGGUGAUUUGGCCUCCCCCCCAUCCCCAAGUUCAGUGCUGGGUGGUCCGGCCGGGAGCCCAGCGCGGGGUGGCUGCCUGCUCUCUGUCCAGCUGCCAGCCCGCGGAGUGAAUGAGAAUAUUUUAUGAGGAUGAAGCCCUCAGGAAACCCUUAAGGACAGACCCGGCCCCUGAGCCCCAGAAUUGCCUCCCGAUGUAAUUCCUCGGCCCCUCUUUCCACAGACCGUGACUGCAGCAGGUGAAGGCACGCUCGGCUGGAGCUGCUCUGCGGCCCGAGGCCCACACUGGGCCUGCUCUCCACUGUUAUCUCAGACUUAAUGAAACUAUGUUCAAGGCGCUCUUUACCCACCACACAGAUCUCUCCUUUGAUUAGGCACUUCCAGGUGGUGGAAACAAUACAGAGACUCCUCGACCACCGGACUGAUGCUAAUUAUCAGAGCUGCUCUGCCUGGCUGGAGGCCAGCCCUCGUUCUCUGGGGUCCAGAGCCCCGCAAGGUCGGCCGCAAAGAUGGCCAGGGAGGCCCAGGCACUCAGGGACUACCGUGGACAAGGCUGCUGGGGUCUGAGCUACCCAGGGCCCGAGGUCCCCGGCUCUAGGCCAACAUCAGUGCCCCACCCCUGUUGCUCACUCCCCCUCCAGAGCCAGCCCAGAGUCCGCCCCACCUGCAGGCCCCACAGACAGGCCGCAGGGUCUGUCCCCACUGCUCUGGGAUUCCUCAAGGGGAUCUGGUUGGAGCCCAGACACAGCCAGGCCGAGCGCUGGUCAGAGGGCUCUGUGGGGAGCCCCUGUACCCAGAGAGCACGUGAGAGGCCCAGUGUCCCUAGAAGAGGGGCAGGUGGGCAUGGGCUCCCCAGAGCUCCCAGCGUGGUGCAUCUUCAAGCCAGGACUUUGCACUGGACCUUUCUGUGCGCGCUCACCCCAUUCUGUGAGGGUACACUCCUCUCCUCCCACCUCACCGGCCAAGCUGGACCCCAAGUUCUAAGCCAGCCUAUUGCCUGGCCCCUGACAGCCUCACCAUUCUGGAAGGGCCUCUCAGCCCAGAGCUGUCCCUGGAGGUAGGGUAGGCAGGGUACAGGUAGGGGGCUGAUCUUCAGGCCUGAGCCAUCUGACAGCUCCUCACUGCCCGGGCAGGGGCCCUGUGAGCCCCCCUAGCCCCUGACCAGCAGCCCGAGAGCAUCCCACUCGCCCCUUCAUUCAUGCACAGACCCUUGUGCUCUGAGCUGCGGGGUCCCCACCCCCGCUCUGGCCAAGAACCACCAGCUGUCUAUGGUGAGAGCACAAGUGAAGCCACCGGGGGCCGUGCCUGGUGGAGCAGCUGGCUCUGUGCGUGCGUGUGUGUGUGUGUGUGUGUGCGCCCGCGUGAGAGAGACAGAGAGAGACAGAGAGAGCGCCCUCCUCCUGGGUCUGCUUGCCCAUCAACUCCACAAACCGGGACCCAAUGAUGCCACCUUUCCUCCCCGCUGCUCCAGCAGGAGUUCCGGAAAGAGAGAAACUAAUUACAGACAAUAAAGGCCGCCUCCCAGCUGA